AUGCAGCCACGUACGCCGCGCGUCCAGAUCGGGAGCCGCCAACGUGCGGCAAUGGCAGGCCUCGCCGCGGCUUUCACCGCGGCGACCCUCGCGGCUAUGGCCCACGCCACCACCACCGGCUCCCCGCCGUUGUCGCCGUCGUCGCAGCCGUGGUCGUCGUCCUACUACGCGGCCGUGGAGAACCGGCUGUCGGCGGGGGGCGGCAUGUUGCUCGUGUGCCGCGCGCUGGGCGGCAACAUCUUUACCCAGUGGAGCGUCGUGCCGCGUGGCCGCGUGCCCCGCGACGGCCGGCGCGUCUUGGAGCUCCUGGUGGACGCCAAGACGUACGGGUGGGUCACCUGCAGCUGGGCCUACCAGGGCAACUACGUCGGUGCCAUGCCGCUCUUCGACUCGCGGUGGCCGGAGGCCAAGCGGUGCCAGGACGUCGCCGGCGGCGGCCUGUGCCGCGUCGUGUUCGAGAGCGACAUGGUGCGCCUCGAGACGCCCGGCGGGGGACAGCGGGUUCUCGGCGACCUGCCGGUGAAACGUUGCCGGCGGCACUGGCUUCUGUUCAGCACGGAGUGCACGUACCCGGACCAUCCCCACCCCUACGCCGGCCGCCGCCUCAGCAACGCCUUCGAAUACUUUGGCGUGUGA
rnacentral:rRNA from 1 species